rnacentral:rRNA from 1 species
CAAUAGCGUAUAUUAAAGUUGUUGCGGUUAAAAAGCUCGUAGUUGGAUUUCUGCUGAGAACGACCGGUCCGCCCUUUGGGUGUGUAUCUGGCUCUUUCUUGGCAUCUUCUUGGUGAACGUUGCUGCACUUGACUGUGUGGAGCGCUACCCAGGACUUUUACUUUGAGGAAAUUAGAGUGUUUCAAGCAGGCAUACGCCUUGAAUACAUUAGCAUGGAAUAAUAAGAUAGGACCUCGGUUCUAUUUUGUUGGUUUCUAGAGCUGAGGUAAUGAUUAAUAGGGAUAGUUGGGGGCAUUCGUAUUUAACUGUCAGAGGUGAAAUUCUUGGAUUUGUUAAAGACGGACUACUGCAAAAGCAUUUGCCAAGGAUGUUUUCAUUGA